rnacentral:rRNA from 1 species
CCUACGGGAGACAGCAGUGGGGAAUAUUGCACAAUGGGGGGAACCCUGAUGCAGCAAUGCCGCGUGGGUGAAGAAGCACUCCGGUGCGUAAAGCCCUGUCAGCAGGGAAGAAAAUGACAGUACCUGGACAAGAAGCCCCGGCUAACUACGUGCCAGCAGCCGCGGUAAUACGUAGGGGGCAAGCGUUAUCCGGAUUUACUGGGUGUAAAGGGAGCGCAGGCGGCGUGGCAAGUCAGAUGUGAAAACCCGGGGCCCAACCCCGGGAGUGCAUUUGAAACUGCCAUGCUGGAGUGCCGGAGAGGUAAGCGGAAUUCCUAGUGUAGCGGUGAAAUGCGUAGAUAUCACGCAGAACUCCGAUUGCGAAGGCAGCGUACCGGCGCCCAACUGACGCUGAAGCACGAAGGCGUGGGUAUCGAACAGGAUUAGAUACCCGAGUAGUC